UAUAACCGGCGAUACCCGAAUGGGGAAACCCAGUGUGACUCGUCACACUAUCAUUAACUGAAUCCAUAGGUUAAUGAGGCGAACCGGGGGAACUGAAACAUCUAAGUACCCCGAGGAAAAGAAAUCAACCGAGAUUCCCCCAGUAGCGGCGAGCGAACGGGGAGGAGCCCAGAGCCUGAAUCAGCAUGUGUGUUAGUGGAAGCGUCUGGAAAGGCGCGCGAUACAGGGUGACAGCCCCGUACACAAAAGCGCAUGUGCUGUGAGCUCGAUGAGUAGGGCGGGACACGUGGUAUCCUGUCUGAAUAUGGGGGGACCAUCCUCCAAGGCUAAAUACUCCUGACUGACCGAUAGUGAACCAGUACCGUGAGGGAAAGGCGAAAAGAACCCCGGCGAGGGGAGUGAAAAAGAACCUGAAACCGUGUACGUACAAGCAGUGGGAGCCCCACCACCAAAGCAUUUGCUGUACCGCGUUGACGGAGCGAAGCGACGUCAAACCGAUAAAACAGCAGUGUAAAGUGAGCCGCAGGGCGCUUUGCGCGACAGCGCAAAGGCAGGCGGUUUCGCGUAGCGAAAGCGAAUGCUUUGGGGUGGGGUGACUGCGUACCUUUUGUAUAAUGGGUCAGCGACUUAUAUUCUGUAGCAAGGUUAACCGAAUAGGGGAGCCGGAGGGAAACCGAGUCUUAAUUGGGCGUUAAGUUGCAGGGUAUAGACCCGAAACCCGGUGAUCUAGCCAUGGGCAGGUUGAAGGUUGGGUAACACUAACUGGAGGACCGAACCGACUAAUGUUGAAAAAUUAGCGGAUGACCUGUGGCUGGGGGUGAAAGGCCAAUCAAACCGGGAGAUAGCUGGUUCUCCCCGAAAGCUAUUUAGGUAGCGCCUCGUGAAUUCAUCUCCGGGGGUAGAGCACUGUUUCGGCUAGGGGGCCAUCCCGGCUUACCAACCCGAUGCAAACUGCGAAUACCGGAGAAUGUUAUCACGGGAGACACACGGCGGGUGCUAACGUCCGUCGUGAAGAGGGAAACAACCCAGACCGCCAGCUAAGGUCCCAAAGUCAUGGUUAAGUGGGAAACGAUGUGGGAAGGCCCAGACAGCCAGGAUGUUGGCUUAGAAGCAGCCAUCAUUUAAAGAAAGCGUAAUAGCUCACUGGUCGAGUCGGCCUGCGCGGAAGAUGUAACGGGGCUAAACCAUGCACCGAAGCUGCGGCAGCGACACUGUGUGUUGUUGGGUAGGGGAGCGUUCUGUAAGCCUGUGAAGGUGUGUCGUGAGGCAUGCUGGAGGUAUCAGAAGUGCGAAUGCUGACAUAAGUAACGAUAAAGCGGGUGAAAAGCCCGCUCGCCGGAAGACCAAGGGUUCCUGUCCAACGUUAAUCGGGGCAGGGUGAGUCGACCCCUAAGGCGAGGCCGAAAGGCGUAGUCGAUGGGAAACGGGUUAAUAUUCCCGUACUUGGUGUUACUGCGAAGGGGGGACGGAGAAGGCUAUGUUGGCCGGGCGACGGUUGUCCCGGUUUAAGCGUGUAGGUGUGUGUUCCAGGUAAAUCCGGUUCACUUUAACACUGAGGCGUGACGACGAGGCACUACGGUGCUGAAGCAACAAAUGCCCUGCUUCCAGGAAAAGCCUCUAAGCAUCAGGUAACAUCAAAUCGUACCCCAAACCGACACAGGUGGUCAGGUAGAGAAUACCAAGGCGCUUGAGAGAACUCGGGUGAAGGAACUAGGCAAAAUGGUGCCGUAACUUCGGGAGAAGGCACGCUGACACGUAGGUGAAGUGAUUUACUCAUGGAGCUGAAGUCAGUCGAAGAUACCAGCUGGCUGCAACUGUUUAUUAAAAACACAGCACUGUGCAAACACGAAAGUGGACGUAUACGGUGUGACGCCUGCCCGGUGCCGGAAGGUUAAUUGAUGGGGUCAGCGCAAGCGAAGCUCCUGAUCGAAGCCCCGGUAAACGGCGGCCGUAACUAUAACGGUCCUAAGGUAGCGAAAUUCCUUGUCGGGUAAGUUCCGACCUGCACGAAUGGCGUAAUGAUGGCCAGGCUGUCUCCACCCGAGACUCAGUGAAAUUGAACUCGCUGUGAAGAUGCAGUGUACCCGCGGCAAGACGGAAAGACCCCGUGAACCUUUACUAUAGCUUGACACUGAACAUUGAGCCUUGAUGUGUAGGAUAGGUGGGAGGCUUUGAAGUGUGGACGCCAGUCUGCAUGGAGCCGACCUUGAAAUACCACCCUUUAAUGUUUGAUGUUCUAACGUGGACCCGUUACCCGGGUUGCGGACAGUGUCUGGUGGGUAGUUUGACUGGGGCGGUCUCCUCCUAAAGAGUAACGGAGGAGCACGAAGGUUGGCUAAUCCUGGUCGGACAUCAGGAGGUUAGUGCAAUGGCAUAAGCCAGCUUGACUGCGAGCGUGACGGCGCGAGCAGGUGCGAAAGCAGGUCAUAGUGAUCCGGUGGUUCUGAAUGGAAGGGCCAUCGCUCAACGGAUAAAAGGUACUCCGGGGAUAACAGGCUGAUACCGCCCAAGAGUUCAUAUCGACGGCGGUGUUUGGCACCUCGAUGUCGGCUCAUCACAUCCUGGGGCUGAAGUAGGUCCCAAGGGUAUGGCUGUUCGCCAUUUAAAGUGGUACGCGAGCUGGGUUUAGAACGUCGUGAGACAGUUCGGUCCCUAUCUGCCGUGGGCGCUGGAGAACUGAGGGGGGCUGCUCCUAGUACGAGAGGACCGGAGUGGACGCAUCACUGGUGUUCGGGUUGUCAUGCCAAUGGCACUGCCCGGUAGCUAAAUGCGGAAGAGAUAAGUGCUGAAAGCAUCUAAGCACGAAACUUGCCCCGA
rnacentral:rRNA from 1 species